rnacentral:ncRNA from 1 species
UGACCUCAGGUCAGGCAAGGGUACCCCCUGAUCUUAAGCAUAUCACUAAGGGGAGGAAGAGAAACUAACAAGGAUUCCCUCAGUAACGGCGAGUGAAGCGGGAAGAGCUCAAGCAUUGGAAUCUCCACAAGCUUCUUUUUUGUGGCGAGUUGUAGUCUUUAUGGGAUGCGGGCCGUCGCAUGUCUUUGUGAUGGUGCACAGCUUUUGUUGUGCAUUGUUGUUUGGCGCAGCACCGAGUUUCCUUGGAAGAGGACACCGGAGAGGGUGAGAGUCCCGUUGGUGCUACAUUAUNNNNNNNNNNNNNNNNNNNNNNNNNNNNNNNNNNNNNNNNNNNNNNNNNNNNNNNNNNNNNNNNNNNNNNNNNNNNNNNNNNNNNNNNNNNNNNNNNNNNNNNNNNNNNNNNNNNNNNNNNNNNNNNNNNNNNNNNNNNNNNNNNNNNNNNNNNNNNNNNNNNNNNNNNNNNNNNNNNNNNNCCGUUGACAGAGAAUCGCUUGCAGCUAGCAGAGACUGGGCGCGCCUUGUGAUCAGGGCUUUUGGUGUGGUGUGUGAUGAUGUUGCGGGGGGUGUAUUGUGUACUUGUUGCACACAUGCGCCGCUGCGUUGCUAUUGUUGUGUGCUGCGCUGCCUGCACUCGCGGGGCGUGUCUGCCAGCAUGAGUUUUGUGUGUGAGAGACGGCGAUGCGAGGGCGCCCUUGUGCGUGGCGCAUCUGCUUUUUAUGUUUCUGUCGCACGCGGGACUGAGGAAUUUAUCGAUGCGGUGGCUUUGUUAUGUGGUCUUUGGCAUGGGUGCUGUUUUCGGCAUUGUGUUGCGCAGACUCUUGUUUUGGGAUGAGAGUGCUUUCUCUUGUGCUGUUGACAGAGUGUGUGCGGGCAGUGUUGGGAAUGUUGCGCUUGCCGCUUGGCGCACACCACCGGGGAGAUGCUGGCGACAGGGCUGCAAACGGCCCGUCUUGAAACACGGACCAAGGAGUCUAACAUGUGCGCGAGUGUUUUAGCGAGCAUGAAGCUAGGGCGCGCAAUGAAAGUGAGAGGUGGGAUGCAGUGUUAUUGUUGUGCGUCUCGGCGUGCAAUCAGCAGCACUCGCAGCACCAUCGACCGAUCUGGAUUGGGGGAGGGGGAAAAGCACUUUUGUGUGGCUCCACCUCCUCCGCUGAAGGAUUUGCGUUUUAGCGCAGAUGUUAGGACCCGAUAGAUGGUGAACUAUGCCUGAGUAGGGCGAAGCCAGAGGAAACUCUGGUGGAGGCUCGUAGCGAUCAUGACGUGCAAAUCUGUCGUCGAACUUGGGUAUAGGGGCGAAAGACUCAUCGAACCAUCUAGUAGCUGGUUCCCACCGAAGUUUCCCUCAGGAUAGCUGAGACUUUUAUAUGAUCUUUUGGUUAGUUUUAUCUGGUAAAGCGAAUGAUUAGAGGCCUUGGGGGAGCCACUUCCCUCAACCUAUUCUCAAACUUUAAAUGGGUAAGGCGGCGCGCUUUCUUUGUUUAUGAAGCGGGCAAUGCUGAAUAACCGAGUCUCAAGUGGGCCAUUUUUGGUAAGCAGAACUGGCGAUGCGGGAUGAACCGAACGCGGAGUUAGGGUGCCGGAAUCGACGCUCAUGAGAACCCACAAAAGGUGUUGGUUGAUAUAGACAGCAGGACGGUGGCCAUGGAAGUCGGAAUCCGCUAAGGAGUGUGUAACAACUCACCUGCCGAAUCAACUAGCCCUGAAAAUGGAUGGCGCUCAAGCGUCGUACCUAUACUCCGCUGUGUGUGGAAAAGAAGGCGAGCGAAGCGAGCAUUCGUGCUUGUUGCGUCUCAAAACUACAUGUAGCCACACACAAGUAGGUGGGCGUGGAGGUGUUUGCGUGAGAGCAAUCUUUUGAACAAGCCGUGGAAGCCUGUGGCGUGAGCCUGGGUGGAGGGGCCUCCAGUGCAGAUCUUGGUGACAGUAGCAACGAUUCAAAUGAGAGCUUUGAAGACUGAAGUGGAGCAAGGUUCCGUGGGAACAGCAGUUGGCCACGGGUGAGUCGGUCCUAAGAGAUGGGGCAGUCCUGUGUCAAGUGGGGAGUUGUUGCGUGUGUGUGGGUGGUGGUGAUAUUAUCGCCAUGCUUGCACACGUGUAUAUUACCCCAGUCCAUCGAAAGGGAACCAGGUUAAGAUUCCUGGACCAACGCACGCCACAAAGAAUGUUUUGAUAGAGCAGCGGCAACGCGUACAAACUCGGAGACGCUGCCGGGGGCCCUGGAAAGAGUUUUCUUUUCUUUUUAACGAGCCGCAUUGUGGGGGGGAAUAGGGGGAUGAGUGUAUUCUGUGCUCAUCAGCCUUCCUCCUCGCAUUCUCUGACCCUGGAAUCAGUUUGGCUGGAGAUGGGGUGAGAGGCUCGGCAAAGCACCACUGACCUUUUUUUGUUGUGGUGUCCGGCGCGUUCCCGGCGGUCCAUGAAAAUCCGAGGGUGUGAAUGGUAGCAGUGUGGGGGGAAGAAGAGAAGCACUUGUGCUAAUCUAUUUUCUCCGCUGCAUGUGGGCGUGGUUGGCCGUACUGAUAACCGCAGCAGGUCUCCAAGGUGAAGAGCCUCUAGUUUGAUAGACGAAUGUAGGUAAGGGAAGUCGGCAAAAUAGAUCCGUAAGCUCGCGAUAAGGAUUGGCUCAAGAGGUUGAUUGUGUGUGAGGGGGGUGGGGGUGAAAGGGGGGGGGUGUGUGUGGUUUCAUACACGCUUCCAUUAUCACCCUUACAUUCUGCGCACACUGUUUUUUAGCAACCGAUCUUGAACUGGUACGGACAAGGGGAAUCCGACUGUUUACUUAAAACAAAGCAUUGCGAGGAUAGGCUGUUGCGACGGUGUAGACGCAAUGUGAUUUCUGCCCAGUGCUCAGAAUGUCAACGUGAAGAAAUUCAAGCCAAGCGCGGGAUCAACGGCGGAAGUUUUCUAUGCAAGGGGCCGGUAUUGUGGGUGCGGGUUUGGUGGGUUACAAUGGGUUGGAAUAAUUUGGUCACUACUUGUGGGGGCAUUGUGGGGGCAUUGUGGCAAUGGAAGGGCGUCAUCGAAGGGACCAGUGCUAUUCGUCGAAGAUGCUGUUGUUUCUUUUUGAUAGUGGGAUCCGUGGAGGGGUGGGUGUUAUUGUAUUGCUACCAUACACUGUUAUUGUUUCUUUCUAUGCAUUACACACAUCGCAUACACGGUGGGGAACGGCUCAUGUGGGAAUUGACGGCUCAUGUGGGAAUUGACGGCUUAUGUGAGGAUAUGUUGGCGUUGCGGUAGCGGUACGGGGGAAUGCUGGCACCCUCAUUUGAAACAAGGGGGCAUGCCAGCGUUCUCAUUUUCAAUAAGGGGGGAUGUUUUUUUUUCUUUUUUCAUGUGAGGCAAAGAGGGUCUUUUGCAGGGUUGGUGUAGUGUGAAUGUGUGUGUAUGAAGUGCUGUCGGGGAAUGGGUGUGGGAGUGUGUGGGUCAGGUGUUUCUAUAGUGAAUUGAUGGAGGUUGUUGUGUAGCGGUGUAUGAGAAGAGAGCUUAAUUGAUGUAGCCCUGGCUCAUUUGAGCAGGGGGGUAUUUUGAGCGUUUGCUCAUUUGAGCAGUGGAUUAUUUUGUGCAAUCUUGCUCAUUUGAGCAGCAGGAUAUUUUGACGUAUUUACUCAUUUGAGCAUCUGCUCAUUUGAGCGUUUGCUCAUUUUAGCAGCCUCUCAUUUGAGCAACCGCUCAUUUGAGCUACCGCUCCUUUGAGCUAUAUAUAUAUACAUAUGUCUAUAUAGCUAUAUUGCUCUAUAUAUAUAUAUAUAUAUAUAUAUAUAUAUAUAUAUAUAUAUAUAUAUAUAUAUAUAUAUAUACAUAUAUAUAUAUAAACAUAUAUACAUAUAUAUAUAUAUGUAUAUAUACAUAUAUACCAUACACACAUAUAUAUAUAUAUAUAAAAUAUAUACGUAUAUAUAUAUAUAUAUAUAUAUAUAUAUAUAUAUAUAUAUAUAGAUAUAUAUAUAUAUAUAUAUAUAUAUAUAUAUAUAUAUAUAUAGAUAUAUAUAUAUAGAUAUAUAUAUAUAUAUAGAUAUAUACAUAUAUAUAUAUAUAUAUAGAUAUAUAUAUAUAUAUAUAUAUAUAUAUAUAUAUUUAUAUACAUACACGCCCCCCCCCCCCCCCCCCCCCCCCACAAGAGGCGCGCGGAGUGUGUGUGUGUGUGUGUGUGCGUGUGUGGGGGUGGGGGUGUGCAAGAAACGGGGAGGUAUAGCACGCAGGCACACACACACAGUUUCACACACACACACACACACACACACACACACACACACACACACACACAACGCACCACUCUUGUGGGAGGUUGGCGGUGACGUUGGCGUUUUGGUUGUUCAUGAAGA